GCUCGGCUAAUCAGUUAAUUGGCUUUGCAUAUUGCAAAAGGGCCCCUUGAAAUUAAAACCCCUCUGGAUAAAACCUCAGGGACCUGUGCUUGGGUCUGGGUGGGAUCAGCCUUCCCCUGCUCUGCAGCAGCACAGGCACGUGAGCAAUGCUGAAAGAUGGCAUGAAAAAAGCAAUGAAAAGGAGCUUUAAAAUGCUCAGGAAGGCAAAUUGAUGAGGACUUGAGGUGUACUCUUGUGUCAGAUUAAACCGUGAUUUAUGGCCAGGAAGAUUGCAUUUCAAUGUACCUGCUGUGGAAAGUUCUCGUCGUCCGUUUCUGGCUGUGCUUCUCCCCUAGCAGGUUUAUUUUGAGUCCUUCAGCUGCAGGAAGCCCAGAGCAGGGCCUCUUCUUUGCUCUGCUGCAGACCAUCACCUGGAU